rnacentral:rRNA from 1 species
AUUGAACGCUGGCGGCAGGCUUAACACAUGCAAGUCGAGCGGUAGCACAGGGGAGCUUGCUCCCUGGGUGACGAGCGGCGGACGGGUGAGUAAUGUCUGGGAAACUGCCUGAUGGAGGGGGAUAACUACUGGAAACGGUAGCUAAUACCGCAUAACGUCGCAAGACCAAAGAGGGGGACCUUCGGGCCUCUUGCCAUCAGAUGUGCCCAGAUGGGAUUAGCUAGUAGGUGGGGUAAUGGCUCACCUAGGCGACGAUCCCUAGCUGGUCUGAGAGGAUGACCAGCCACACUGGAACUGAGACACGGUCCAGACUCCUACGGGAGGCAGCAGUGGGGAAUAUUGCACAAUGGGCGCAAGCCUGGUGCAGCCAUGCCGCGUGUGUGAAGAAGGCCUUCGGGUUGUAAAGCACUUUCAGCGAGGAGGAAGGUGGUGAGCUUAAUACGCUCAUCAAUUGACGUUACCCGCAGAAGAAGCACCGGCUAACUCCGUG